UACGUAGGGUGCGAGCGUUUGUCCGGAAUUAUUGGGCGUAAAGGGCUCGUAGGCGGUUUGUCGCGUCGGGAGUGAAAACCUCGGGCUUAACUCGGGCUGCUUUCGAUACGGGCAGACUAGAGGUAUGCAGGGGGAGAACGGAAUUCCUGGUGUAGCGGUGAAAAUGCGCAGAUAUCAGGAGGAACACCGGUGGCGAAGGCGGUUCUCUGGGCAUGAUCUGACGCUGAGGAGCGAAAGUGUGGGGAGCGAACAGG
rnacentral:rRNA from 1 species